UACGGGGGGGGGCAAGCGUUGUUCGGAAUUACUGGGCGUAAAGGGCUCGUAGGCGGCCAACUAAGUCAGACGUGAAAUCCCCAGGCUCAACCUGGGAACUGCGUCUGAUACUGGAUGGCUUGAAUCCGGGAGAGGGAUGCAGAAUUCCAGGUGUAGCGGUGAAAUGCGUAGAUAUCUGGAGGAACACCGGUGGCGAAGGCGGCAUUCUGGACCGACAUUGACGCUGAGGAGCGAAAGCCAGGGGAGCAAACGGG
rnacentral:rRNA from 1 species